rnacentral:lncRNA from 1 species
GGUGCACCAUGUCUUAAUUGGAUUAGAAUUAAAUUAAGUUUGACUCAAGCACCAAGAGAGAGUCCAAAAAGAUUAGGACUCCUCUAAUUAGGUGACAUCUAAUUUAAAUAGUUUGAACUCCAAAUUAGAUUUGAAUUUUUAUCUAUUUGGAUCUAAUCAAUUGCUAAUAUGAUUAGGAUUGGUUGGGAUUUAAAUUGGUUUAAAUCAGCCACCUAAAAG